rnacentral:tRNA from 1 species
GUUCCUGUAGCUUAUAUAAAGCAUGGCACUGAAGAUGCCAAGAUGGUAGUUACAUACACCCAAGAACA